GUCCAGGUCCGGCAGCGACACGCCCUCGGCGUACUCGGCAUCUGCGGGAGGCACGGAGGGAGGACAGCAAGCCCAUCUGGGAUGGAGUUUUGAUCCCGCCUUCCGUCACGUUUAAAGCGAUCCUGGCCGCGGACCCGCUGACUGUGCAGGAGGCCCCCGCAGAGCAGGGGCUGGCAGCACUCCAAGGCUGGGGAGGAGGUUUUCCGGGCUGGGGCCGGGGCCGGGACACGUCUCAGCUGAGCCGCAGCCUUACGUGGGAACGCCCCUACACCGCUCCAGGAACCUCGCCGUGAAUUUCCACGGAGCUGGAGUUCAGGCUUCACCAGCAGUGUGGGGCUCUGGAUCACCCAGAUCUCCGAUACUGGAACUGAUUUAUGAACAGCAACAAACACAGAAGCUGGCUGUGUACUUUUCCCCCUUUGUUUUGGCUCACUGCUGGUGAUCCAGCUAAAAUGGGGAGGGUUUCCAAUUAAUCUGUUUCAAUCCAGAUGUGGCUGGACUGAAAUAGCGAGUAAAAAAUACAAUCAUCUCGUAAAUAAGAUGUUGAAAAUGGAAGACUUAGGCAUCUGGAGCAGUAAAUCAUAUAAUUGCUUGCAUACGGUGCUGCUCCUACCCCCUGCUGGCCAGCAGAGCCAUGGGGCGAAGGCUCUCAUCCAUGGAAAAUCAUGUUGAAAUGGUUAUGCCAGAACAUGGAAAUCCAGUUCCCUCCAGGAACAGAAGUGAAGUACAACUGAAAAACAAGAUGAUUAAAAUGGAUGGAUUUAAAUAAGGGGUUUCUGCCGCUGGCAGAGCUAAACCAAGAUUAAAAUCUGAUUUAAAUCAAUCCA